CCUCUCUCAUGACUCAGGUCACAGGGGAAGAGGAAAGCUUCAAAUGCCCUUAAAUAGAAGGCUCUCCCUCCCCCGCCCCCUGCCCCCCCUUGGUUUCUCGUAUCUACCCUUAGGGAAAAAUUUCAUCCCAGUGAAAAUUAUUUUAUUUGGCAGACUAUUUAAUCUGCCCUUUGAUUCCAUUUUCCAGCCAGCCUUUUAAUAAAUGAUGCUGUAUUUUCCAGGGUCUCCUGUAACAAGCUGGCCUCUAUCCAUUACAGCAGAGGCUGAGCUUGAAUUCCUGAUCUUCCUGAUUCCAGCUUCCAAGGCGAGAGUUACAGUUUUACAGACACGUCCCCACCGUUUUCCCAGGCUGGGAUGCAGUGGGUUCCCGGGUGUCUGCAAGCUCCCUGGGGUUCACCAGGAGCCGGGCCCUCCAUCCCUGCACACUCUGGAGUUCCACGCUCCACCACUGCACGCUCCUCCCACCAAAGCUGCCAGUCGCGCAGAUUGGAGCCAGAACCAGAUGUAAACAUGGAGUACGCACGGGGACACGGGAUGGGGCUGCAG
rnacentral:lncRNA from 1 species